rnacentral:rRNA from 1 species
GACGAACGCUGGCGGCGUGCUUAACACAUGCAAGUCGAACGCUGAAGCUCAGCUUUUGUUGGGUGGAUGAGUGGCGAACGGGUGAGUAACACGUGAGUAACCUGCCUCCUUCUUUGGGAUAACGCCCGGAAACGGGUGCUAAUACUGGAUAUUCACUGGUCUUCGCAUGGGGGUUGGUGGAAAGGGUUUUUCUGGUGGGGGAUGGGCUCGCGACCUAUCAGCUUGUUGGUGGGGUGAUGGCCUACCAAGGCUUUGACGGGUAGCCGGCCUGAGAGGGUGACCGGUGACAUUGGGACUGAGAUGCGGCCCAGAGUAGGAAGGGGGGCAGAAGUGGGGAAAAUGGGAGAAUGGGCGAAAGAGUGAUGCAGCGACGCCGCGGGAGGGAUGGGGGCCUUCGGGUUGUGAAGCUCGGUCGCUCAUGGUCAAGCCGCAACAAUGGGUGUGGUGAGGGUAGUGGGUAAAGAAGCGCCGGCUAACUACGUG